UCCCUUGGACUGUGAGCUGUUAGGUUGA
rnacentral:piRNA from 1 species